rnacentral:rRNA from 1 species
AUGCCGGAGGCAAAUGCGGGUGCCCGCGGCGGCGGCGAGCAGCGCAGCAAGGUUCAGAGUUCAGACGUGAUGAGUUUCUUCAGUGAAUAUGGAGAUGCCAGCAGAUACAAGAUCGAGGAAAUCAUCGGCAAAGGGAGUUAUGGAGUUGUGUGUUCAGCCAUCGACCGGCAGACCGGCGACAAGGUUGCCAUAAAGAAGGUGUCCAACAUCUUCGAGCAUAUAACCGAUGCCGCCCGGAUCCUCCGCGAGAUCAAGCUUCUCCGGCUUCUCAGGCACCCCGACAUCGUCCAGAUCAAGCACAUAAUGCUGCCUCCCUCCAGGAGGGACUACAAGGACAUAUUUGUUGUCUUUGAGCUCAUGGACACAGACCUCCACCAGGUUAUCAAGGCCAAUGAUGACUUGACAAAGGAGCACUACCAGUUCUUUCUCUAUCAGAUGCUCCGUGCGCUCAAAUAUAUCCAUACUGCUAAUGUCUAUCAUCGUGAUUUGAAGCCAAAAAACAUAUUGGCAAAUGCAAACUGCAAGCUCAAGAUAUGUGAUUUUGGACUAGCAAGAGUUGCAUUCAAUGACACCCCUACAACUGUUUUCUGGACGGACUAUGUUGCCACUAGGUGGUACAGAGCUCCGGAGCUCUGUGGUUCUUUCUUUACCAAGUAUUCACCGGCUAUUGAUACAUGGAGCAUUGGUUGCAUUUUUGCGGAGAUCUUGACAGGAAAGCCUUUGUUCCCUGGUAAAAAUGUGGUUCAGCAGUUGGAUAUGAUGACUGAUUUCUUAGGCUCACCGUCGCCUGAGAUUAUUUCUCGGAUUCGAAAUGAGAAGGCAAGGAGGUAUCUUAGCAGCAUGAGGAAGAAACUGCCAGUACCUUUUUCAGAGAAGUUCCCCAAAGCAGAUCCUGCAGCAGUCAAGCUCUUGCAAAAGCUUCUAGCAUUUGACCCAAAGGACCGACCCACUGCUGAAGAGGCGUUGGCUGAUCCCUAUUUCAAUGGCCUCGCGAAAGUGGAGAGAGAACCAUCAUGCCAACCGAUUUCGAAAAUGGAGUUUGAGUUUGAACGGAGAAAGUUUACCAGAGAGGACGUCAAGGAACUUAUAUUCAGGGAGAUAUUGGAGUACCACCCUCAGCUUCUCAAGGAUUACAGCAACGGCUCAGAGAAAACGAACUUUCUAUAUCCUAGUGCUGUCGACAACUUCCGGAGGCAAUUUGCUAACUUAGAGGAAGAUGGAGGAAAGGGCGGGGCAGCCGAGAGGAAGCAUGUUUCUCUCCCGAGGACUACAACAGUUCACUCUACCCCAGUUCCUACAACAAAUUGUCCGGCCUCCCAAGCUCCUCAAAGGAUUCCAGCAGCCCGACCGGGCAGAGUGAUUGCCUCAGCGACACCAACCGAGAACGCGGCCUUCACCGAUCGACAAAUGGGUCGAAGAAUGGCGAGGGACCCCGCGGGGGCUCCAGCAGCGGCUGCCGGUCACCACCUGAGGCCGGACUGCUCCGACAGGCAACAUGAGGUGGAGAAGGACCGCGCGCACUACAGGCCGUCGCACCAUUUCAGGGACGCCAGGGUGGCGCCCGAGGCCGAGGCGCGGCCCUCGGCCUACUACAUUCCCCCGUUCAAUGGCAUCGCAGCGGUUGGCGCGGCAGGAAGGAUGUACUAG